rnacentral:rRNA from 1 species
CUACACAUGCAGUCGAGCGGUAGAGAGAAGCUUGCUUCUCUUGAGAGCGGCGGACGGGUGAGUAAUGCCUAGGAAUCUGCCUGGUAGUGGGGGAUAACGUUCGGAAACGGACGCUAAUACCGCAUACGUCCUACGGGAGAAAGCAGGGGACCUUCGGGCCUUGCGCUAUCAGAUGAGCCUAGGUCGGAUUAGCUAGUUGGUGAGGUAAUGGCUCACCAAGGCGACGAUCCGUAACUGGUCUGAGAGGAUGAUCAGUCACACUGGAACUGAGACACGGUCCAGACUCCUACGGGAGGCAGCAGUGGGGAAUAUUGGACAAUGGGCGAAAGCCUGAUCCAGCCAUGCCGCGUGUGUGAAGAAGGUCUUCGGAUUGUAAAGCACUUUAAGUUGGGAGGAAGGGUUGUAGAUUAAUACUCUGCAAUUUUGACGUUACCGACAGAAUAAGCACCGGCUAACUCUGUGCCAGCAGCCGCGGUAAUACAGAGGGUGCAAGCGUUAAUCGGAAUUACUGGGCGUAAAGCGCGCGUAGGUGGUUUGUUAAGUUGGAUGUGAAUCCCCGGGCUCAACCU